GCAGUAGCCGCGGUAAUACGUAGGUCCCGAGCGUUGUCCGGAUUUAUUGGGCGUAAAGCGAGCGCAGGCGGUUAGAUAAGUCUGAAGUUAAAGGCUGUGGCUUAACCAUAGUACGCUUUGGAAACUGUUUAACUUGAGUGCAAGAGGGGAGAGUGGAAUUCCAUGUGUAGCGGUGAAAUGCGUAGAUAUUAGGAAGAACACCGGUGGCGAAGGCGGCUUUCUGGAUUGUAACAGACACUGAGGCACGAAAGCGUGGGUAGCAAACAGGAUUAGAUACCCCCGUAGUCCCUGUCUCUUAUACA
rnacentral:rRNA from 1 species